rnacentral:rRNA from 1 species
CCUACGGGCGGCAGCAGUGGGGAAUAUUGGACAAUGGGGGAACCCUGAUCCAGCCAUGCCGCGUGUGUGAAGAAGGCCCUCGGGUUGUAAAGCACUUUCAGUGAGGAAGAACGCCUGGUGGUUAAUACCCAUCAGGAAAGACAUCACUCACAGAAGAAGCCCCGGCUAACUCCGUGCCAGCAGCCGCGGUAAUACGGAGGGUGCGAGCGUUAAUCGGAAUUACUGGGCGUAAAGCGCGCGUAGGUGGCUUGAUAAGCCGGUUGUGAAAGCCCCGGGCUCAACCUGGGAACGGCAUCCGGAACUGUCAAGCUAGAGUGCAGGAGAGGAAGGUAGAAUUCCCGGUGUAGCGGUGAAAUGCGUAGAGAUCGGGAGGAAUACCAGUGGCGAAGGCGGCCUUCUGGACUGACACUGACACUGAGGUGCGAAAGCGUGGGUAGCAAACAGGAUUAGAUACCCGUGUAGUC